CCUACGGGUGGCAGCAGUGGGGAAUAUUGCACAAUGGGGGAAACCCUGAUGCAGCGACGCCGCGUGAGGGAAGAAGUAUUUCGGUAUGUAAACCUCUAUCAGCAGGGAAGAAAAUGACGGUACCUGACUAAGAAGCCCCGGCUAACUACGUGCCAGCAGCCGCGGUAAUACGUAGGGGGCAAGCGUUAUCCGGAUUUACUGGGUGUAAAGGGAGCGUAGGCGGUGCAGCAAGUCAGAAGUGAAAGCCCGGGGCUCAACCCCGGGACGGCUUUUGAAACUGUUGGACUAGAGUGCAGGAGGGGUAAGUGGAAUUCCUAGUGUAGCGGUGAAAUGCGGAGAGAUUAGGAGGAACACCAGUGGCGAAGGCGGCUUACUGGACUGUAAAUGACGCUGAGGCACGAAGGCGUGGGGAGCAAACAGGAUUAGAUACCCUAGUAGUC
rnacentral:rRNA from 1 species